GCUGGGUGUGGUGGUGUGCACUUGUAGUCCCAGCUACUCAGGAGGCCGGGGUGAGAGGAUUGCUUGAGCCCAGGAGUUUGAGGCUGCACUGAGCUAUGAUUGUGCCAGUGAACUCUAGCCUGGGCAACAGAGUAAGACCCUGUCUCUU
rfam:Homo sapiens chromosome 22, GRCh38 reference primary assembly.